UACGUAGGGUGCAAGCGUUGUCCGGAAUUAUUGGGCGUAAAGAGCUCGUAGGCGGUCAGUCGCGUCUGCUGUGAAAACUCGGGGCUUAACUCCGGGCCUGCAGUGGGUACGGGCUGACUAGAGUGUGGUAGGGGAGACUGGAAUUCCUGGUGUAGCGGUGAAAUGCGCAGAUAUCAGGAGGAACACCGGUGGCGAAGGCGGGUCUCUGGGCAGUAACUGACGCUGAGGAGCGAAAGCGUGGGGAGCGAACAGG
rnacentral:rRNA from 1 species